UAUAUAUAUAUAUAUAUAUUCUAGUAAAAUGUAUGUGCAAAUGCACGUAAUAAUUAUUAGAAGAAGUUAUAAUUUUUAAAAAUUAUUUUUAAUUUUAGGCCAUAUUUUAUAUGAUUGCCAAAUACGUAUCUGUCUGCGAUCACGAAUGACGCACCUCGCACGGUUGAUCUUAUUUUCAAUUUCCCGUGGGGUAGUAUUCAUGAUUCAGAUUAAGAUUUGAAUAUGUAUGGGUAUCAAGUAUUGUGGAUUCAUGGCUUCCAAUAAACGCAAGCGUUUAUUGUUAAUUACCCCUACAAAGUGUUAGGGCACCUUCGAUUGAGAGACCUUUGUAACGCCGAAAUGGACUGAAAUUGAAUAAAAGGUGGAUUUUAUAACACAAUCCGUUGUAUAGUUACACGGCUUAACCAGGGGCAUACCCCCAGUGUACAUGAAUGUAACAUAAAAGAGAAAAUGAUUAGUUCAACGACAUGACGGUCGAUUGAACUGGGUUGCUCUAUGGCGAUCGAUUAGAUUUUGACUUGCUCAAUUUAACGACAUGGCGGUCGAGUAGAUUUAGGUUGCUCAGUUUAACGACAUGGCGGUCGAUUAGAUUUUGACUGGCUCAGUUAACGACAUGGCGGUCUAUUGGGAUUGAUUUGCUCAGUUUAAUGACAUAGCAGUCGUUUGGGUUUGGAUUGCUCAGUUUAACGACAUGGCGGUCUAUUGGGAUUGAUUUGCUCAGUUUAAUGACAUGGCGGUCGUUUGGGUUUGGAUUGCUCAGUUUAACGACAUGGCGGUCAUUAGAUUUGAUUUGCUCAGUUUAACGACAUGGCGGUCGAUUAGAUUUUGACUGGCUCAGUUAACGACAUGGCGGUCUAUUGGGAUUGAUUUGCUCAGUUUAAUGACAUAGCAGUCGUUUGGGUUUGGAUUGCUCAGUUUAACGACAUGGCGGUCUAUUGGGAUUGAUUUGCUCAGUUUAAUGACAUGGCGGUCGUUUGGGUUUGGAUUGCUCAGUUUAACGACAUGGCGGUCAUUAGAUUUGAUUUGCUCAGUUUAACGACAUGGCGGUCGAUUAGAUUUGAUUUGCUCAGUUUAACGACAUGGCGGUCGAUUAGAUUUGAUUUGCUCAGUUUAACGACAUGGCGGUCGAUUGGGAUUUGAUUUGCUCAAUUUAACGACAUGACGGUCAUUAGAUUUGAUUUGCUCAGUUUAACGACAUGGCUGUCGAUUGGGAUUUGAUUUGCUCGACUUGGACUCACCUUCAGCUUAAAUUCUGAGUUUG
rnacentral:lncRNA from 1 species